CCUACGGGUGGCAGCAGUGAGGAAUAUUGGUCAAUGGGCGAGAGCCUGAACCAGCAAAGUCGCGUGAGGGAUGAAGGCCCUACGGGUUGUAAACUUCUUUUGUAAGGGAGCAAUUGAGUCAACGUGUGGUCUUAGCGAGAGUAGCUGAAGAAAAAGAAUCGGAUAACUACGUGCCAGCAGCCGCGGUAAUACAGAGGAUGCGAGCGUUAUCCGGAUUGAUUGGGUGUAAAGGGUGCGUAGGCGGAACAUCAAGUAAGCGGUAAACAUUCGGGGCUCAACCCCGUCGUGCCGUUGAAACUGAGGUUCUUGAGUGGGCGAGAAGUAUGCGGAAUGCGUGGUGUAGCGGUGAAAUGCAUAGAUAUAACGCAGAACUCCGAUUGCGAAGGCAGCAUACCGGCGCCCAACUGACGCUGAAGCACGAAAGCGUGGGUAUCGAACAGGAUUAGAUACCCUAGUAGUC
rnacentral:rRNA from 1 species